GUCUAGGGAAUACCCCGGAUCCGUUUUGCCCCCUGUCCCUAGCUUCAUAAUAAAAUUGUGGAGACUAUGUGGCAAAAGAAAAACAAGGGAUUUAAAAGAACGGGGGGGGGGAGGACCCUUAGGGGUCCCCCCCCCGGGAUCCGAAGGGUCCGCCACGCCCCGUCCCGAUUUAUAUGAAAAACCACUCUUUUUAUUAAGAUUACUGUCUAACACCGUACAAGUAAGAUAGUUUGGUUGGGGCGACCGCCUUCGAAAAAGUAUCGAAGGCGCACAUAAGAUUAAUCAGUAGAAGGAUCCGAAGGAUCUUUUUAUCGGGAGUAAUGUCCCAAAAAAAGGAGAUUAAUUUGACUGAGAGGGCAACAACCCGAACAGACGUCAAAGGAUAGACCGGGGGGGGAAU
rnacentral:rRNA from 1 species